rnacentral:rRNA from 1 species
AUGAGUUGUUUCCAAUUCACGAAGAAACUGUGCCGGAAUCUGACUUCAGUUUCAUCAAACUUUUGGUGGGGAGCUGAAAAUGGCAAACCCAAGGUGCAUUGGGUGGCUUGGGACAAAAUGUGCAGAAGUAAACGGGUGGGUGGGAUGGGGUACAGGGAUUUUGAAGCUUUCAAUAAAGCGCUGCUCGCAAAACAAGCUUGACGGAUUCUUACUGUCCCAGACUCGCUGCGUGCAAAAGUUUUAAAGGCCAGAUACUUUCCGCAAGGAGAUCUUAUGAAGGCUUCGAUCCCUAAGAGUGCCUCACAAGCUUGGAGUAUUAUUAUUUAUGGCCGUUCUUUACUGAAAGAAGGCCUCAUUUGGCGUAUAGGGAAUGGAACCAAGGUAAAUGUGUGGUCUGACAAUUGGAUCCCAAGAGAAGGUGCGCCGAAGCCUGUUGGUGCUCGGGCUAUGUGCAAUAUUCGAACUGUGGAUGAGUUGUUUGAUUAUUCUGGUUCUAGAUGGGACAUGGCUACUUUACAGCGGGUGUUCCAUGAAGCUGAUGUUGCUGACAUUGCUCAGAUUGUGGUGGGAGGUCUCAGCAGAGAUGACAUGAUGGCCUGGAAUUACACGAAGGACGGUAUUUUUACGGUUCGUUCAGCUUACCAUCUUGAGAUGAAACUGAAAGACACAAGCUCAGGUUCACCUGAAUGUUCUGCUUCGGCCUUGAUGCAUACUGGAUGGAACGAGCUAUGGAGUACUGAAGUGCCGGCCAAGGCUAAGGCACAUUUGGAGACCGUUGAAGAAUGGCCUCGCAGUGGGGACAGAGUUGUACCGGCGCAGAAUUAA